GAUCAAGAACGUAGCGAAAUGCGAUACGUAGUGUGAAUUGCAGAAUUCCGUGAACCAUCGAAUCUUUGAACGCAAAUUGCGCUCAAGGCCUCGGCCAAGAGCAUGUCUGCCUCAGCGUCGGCUACUACCCUCAACCAAGUUCCCUAUUACCAUAGGGGAUGCCAGUUGGAUAUGGCUUUCCGGCUUGCCUGUCAAGGUACCGGUCAGCUGAAAUACAUUCACGCUUUAGGGGCUGCUUUCCGUUCAAGGAAAGGCGAGUUCCGAUUUGGUAGGUGACCUUUGCCGGUUACAUGCCUUCGUUGCUCGCUAAAUGCCCCAACAAGCGUUGUGCAGGACGCCUUUUUGGGCUUUCGACCUGAGGUCAGACAAGAACACCCGCUGAACUUAAGCAUAUCAAUAAGCGGAGGA
rnacentral:misc_RNA from 1 species